rnacentral:rRNA from 1 species
CAGCCGCCGCGGGAAUACGUAGGGUGCGAGCGUUAAUCGGAAUUACUGGGCGUAAAGCGUGCGCAGGCGGUUCGUUAAGACAGAUGUGAAAUCCCCGGGCUUAACCUGGGAACUGCAUUUGUGACUGGCGAGCUAGAGUAUGGCAGAGGGGGGUAGAAUUCCACGUGUAGCAGUGAAAUGCGUAGAGAUGUGGAGGAAUACCGAUGGCGAAGGCAGCCCCCUGGGCCAAUACUGACGCUCAUGCACGAAAGCGUGGGGAGCAAACAGGAUUAGAUACCCCCGUAGUCCCUGUCUCUUAUAC